GUGUCUAUUCCGCUUAUUGGAGACAUUUCAAGUAAAAAUCGCACACUGCUUUGCUCUGUUUAGUAAAUUUGUCUUUCUGUCUCUACAUCUACACAGUUUUUAACAUGCUGAUUCUAACUUUGUCGCCAUUCUCACCUGAUAAGGCAUUACCUUCCUGGGGCUCAUAUACCCGCCACUGAACAUCUGAACCACACUCUUACUGGUGUCCACAGUGAGGCAGACACUGGUCCAGAUGUCCUGCUUAAUGUCCGGCCAUAAGUGCACAAUGGGCUGCAGGUUCACACUGAAGGAAUCAUAAUAGGACAGCAUGAACGUGUCAAAGCUACCCUGCAGACUCAGAGGGGAUAUGCCUGGACUGAGAGUGAAGAGUGGGAAGUUUGGCUGCACAGUGUCAGUCAUGUAACGCAGACACACCGACACACCUGCAAGAGAUGUAACAAAAACGGUUGGUGCUCAGGAUCAAUGUGAAUAUAAACUAUACCAAUUUCAACAGAUCAAUGUCAUUGAUCUGCAGUGCACAUAGUCAUUCAGCUGCACAGGCUGGACUUCUGGAUAAUAAGAUCUGCCCUGGACGCCGUUUUCCGUGAAGCUGAGCGAGGAUGUGUGUAUUUGGAAUCUGCUGAGGAGAAGAGCUUGUAUAUCCCUGUUUUCCCUGGACCCCCAGACCCUUUUCCCUGCCACACUGUGUGUGUGUGUUAUAUAUAUAUAUAUAUAUAUAUCGCUCUAUCUCAACUUACUGUGCAUGCUUCAGUCACCCCUUGCAUGGGAACAGGUAGAAGUGAUGGUGUUAUGUAAAACUACACACAAAAAAACCCCACAAUGUCAAUAAAUGUCACAGUACAAAAAGCAUUUUAAUUAAGGCAACAACCAAAUAUUUUACAUUGUACAAAUAGAAUUAUGAGCUCAUUUACCAGUUAUGAAGGUGCUGCUGCUACUGCACCCCGGCUGCUCGUCUAAGGAAGAGCUGCCCCCAGGGAUGUCCUCAACAACGGUCUGGUGGCAUUCAACCCUAUAGGGCCAGCUCCUCUGCCGGGAUGUGACGAGGGGGUGCAGGACCACCACCUGUCUUUUUUUGCUCUGCCCUUUUCUUGGUUGCUGUUAUAAACAAACAGAUUAUUUCAGGGUCUCUUUUCAGGAGACUAAAAGCAAUAUAAGUGAUAAAUAUUACCAUUCUGUAGAAUAUUCUUAUAUUUCACUUUUACUUGUUCCCAUGUUCUAGUGGGUCCUGUUGUGGCUCUAAUGUGAAAGAGGAUAUAAUGUAAUAUGAUAUAAUAUAAUAUAAUAAAUUACUUACGAGUUUAAUUUG
ensembl:lncRNA